UACGUAGGGUGCGAGCGUUGUCCGGAAUUAUUGGGCGUAAAGAGCUCGUAGGCGGCUUGUCGCGUCGGAUGUGAAAGCCCGGGGCUUAACUCCGGGUCUGCAUUCGAUACGGGCAGGCUAGAGUUCGGUAGGGGAGAUCGGAAUUCCUGGUGUAGCGGUGGAAAUGCGCAGAUAUCAGGAGGAACACCGGUGGCGAAGGCGGAUCUCUGGACAGUUCCUGACGCUGAGGCGCGAAGGCCAGGGGAGCAAACGGG
rnacentral:rRNA from 1 species